CUGACCUGGUUCUCCACAGCCUUGACUGACCUUGAGCUUCUCUCUUCUCAGUUGUGCCCGUCCCACCCGGGUUCUCAUCUUCAAGAAGGCUUUCCUAGAUCACUGGCCCAGGGAGGGCAUUUUAAAAAUGGGCCCAACAGGUUUCUAACUGAUCCGUCUGUCCCCAAGCAUCCUGAGGCUCCUCUGAUAGCAUGCAUGACUUACAGAUCUCAGAACGUCUUUGACUUGUUUAGAAGUCUCUGAUGAUUCCCUCCUAACUUAAGGUAUCUGCACCAGCACAAGAGACUCUUUGCAGCAUGAUCAGUGAGCAGUGGAUCAGACAGCUGAACUGUUGAUUUAAUUGGCAUGAAAUAACUAAGCCAUCUGCUCUGUGGAGUUGAUCUUUUAAGUGUUAUUCUCCUAUGUGCUCUGAAAUUUCUUGGCCACUUAGAAAGACCAUGGAUGUCAGAUGGCAGGGACACUGAGGCAUGAGAAGAUUAGUCUGGUGAGUGCUGGCACAACACAGAAGAUGAGGUUAGCG
ensembl:lncRNA